UACGGAGGGUGCGAGCGUUGUCCGGAAUCACUGGGCGUAAAGGGCGCGUAGGUGGCCUGUGGAAGUCUGCGGUGAAAGCCCGGCGCUCAACGCCGGGUCGGCCGUGGAUACUCUCGGGCUCGAGCUUACUAGAGGCAGAUGGAAUUCCGGGUGUAGCGGUGGAAUGCGUAGAGAUCCGGAAGAACACCGGUGGCGAAAGCGGCGCACUGGACCAUAACUGACGCUGAUGCGCGAAAGCUAGGGGAGCAAACAGG
rnacentral:rRNA from 1 species